GGCCUAAUACCAUGCAAGUCGAACGGGAGUCCCCCGUCGGGGGGCGAGAGUGGCGCACGGGUGCGUAACGCGUAUCGCAACCAGCCCCUUCCCGCGGAUAGCCGGUGGAAACGCCGGAUAAUACGGCAUGGUCCCCUGGAUGGGCAUCCAUCCAGGGGUAAAGACACGUCGGGGAGGGACGGGCAUGCGUGCCAUUAGCUGGUUGGCGGGGCGACGGCCCACCAAGGCGACGAUGGCUAGGGGAUCUGAGAGGACGGUCCCCCACACUGGUACUGAGACACGGACCAGACUCCUGCGGGAGGCAGCAGUAAGGGAUAUUGGGCAAUGGGGGGCAACCCUGACCCAGCCAUGCCCGCGUGAGGGAAGUAGGCCCCAGUGGUCGUGAACCUCUUUUGCGGGGGGACAAGGCGCCGCACGGGAUGCGGCGUUGAGGGUACCCCGCGAAUAAGCAUCGGCUAACUCCGUGCCAGCCGCGGC
rnacentral:rRNA from 1 species